GACGAACCGUGCGAACGUUGUUCGGAUUCACUGGGCUUAAGGACGGCGUAGCGGGCCGGCCAGUCUGUGGUGAAAGCCCCCAGCUCAACUGGGGAAGUGCCGUGGAUACUGCCGGUCUUGAGGAGGGUAGGGGCAUCUGGAACGCUGGGUGGAGCGGUGAAAUGCGUUGAUAUCCAGCGGAACUCCGGUGGCGAAGGCGAGGUGCUGGACCCUUUCUGACGCUGAUGCGCGAAAGCCAGGGGAGCAAACGGG
rnacentral:rRNA from 1 species